rnacentral:lncRNA from 1 species
CAUUCAUUAUUUGAGAUCUUUAUUAAUUUCAACCAACAACUAAAGAAAAUUUCAAUAGAACAAUUGUUCUUAUUAUGUAUAUAUUAUGUAUAGUCACAUACUCCUAAUUAUGUUGUAAAAUUUUUCUAAUAGCUCCAGCUUGAGAAUUGCUAAUAGCCGCCUCCUCAACCUCGCAAAUACAAUGUUCAUUCUGGCAAAAUGGGGUCGCGCCACGGCAAAAAUCAAAGCAAUCUUUAGCUGUUUUGCAUGGUUCACCUAUGAAUACCGAACCUUCCACACUCUGUAAGCCUAUAAAAGUCAAAUUUUUAUCAUAAAAUACUACAAAUUUUUAUAUUUAAGUAAAGAUAACACAAAAAUACCAAACUCAUGUAAAAUAUAAUGUCACUAGACAAAUAGUACCAUUUUAUAGGCCAUCUUAUAGCAAAGCCAGGUUAGAAGAAAUAUGGUAAGUUGCAGCUCCUAACCCAAACUAGUUUAGAUUGCCUUGUCCCUUGUUUGGUUACUAAGUUUGGGAUAAGUUUUUCCAUGAUUAAAAAUAGUACCGGGAUAACUUAUAUCUAUCAGAGAGUGGAAUAGUAAUUUAAAGAUAAGUUAUUCAGGAUGAAGCAGUAAAAUUGACAACCCAAAGAUUAAUGCAACAUACCAAACAAUAAAUAAAAAAUAAAACCAGGAUAAUUAAUCCCAGCAUAACUAAUCGCGGGAUAACUUGUGUUCAAACCAAAUGACCCGACAUAGUACUAUUUAAACCUGGAUCUAAUCUAUAUGCACUUAUUAUUAUGAGGACAUACAAGCCUUUAACUAGAACAAAAUAUUCUUCUAAAACAUCAAAUUUAGUGCAAACUAUAGCAAAAACAAAUAAACUUUAAUAUCAAACUUGGUAUACUGUAGGGAUAAUCUUGCAACCAUUUGAUAGAUCAUAUCUUGAAAAUAAUCUUAAAAAGGUUUUGAUAUGCCUUUGCCUAAAGAAGUCCCUGAAAUCAUAGAUCUUUAGGAAUAAUGCUGUGUGAACAUGAAUUUUUACUCAGAAUCCAAACAUUAAAUACAAAAUAUUAAUUUUAUGUUAAGCAUACAAACAUAUCUGCAACUUUGAUUUCCAUUUGAAUGAGAGUAAAGUGGGAGAAAUACCUAUUGUGAUAAGCAUCACACAAACCAUGGAAAACAAAGUGAUGGACGAUAUCUUCCUCAUUGCCAUGUUGAAAAGUGUAGAACAAAUUCGUGACUAGUUGUAACUUACAAAAAUAC